UGGGGCGUGGCCAAGUGGUAAGGCAACGGGUUUUGGUCCCGUUAUCGGAGGUUCGAGUCCUUCCGUCCCAGA
rnacentral:tRNA from 2 species